GGAGUUAGCCGGUGCUUCUUCUGUGAGUGAUGUCCUUCCUGCCGGCUAUUAACCCGCAGGCCUUCUUCCUCACUGAAAGUGCUUUACAACCCGAAGGCCUUCUUCACACACGCGGCAUGGCUGGAUCAGGGUUGCCCCCAUUGUCCAAUAUUCCCCACUGCUGCCUCCCGUAGGAGUCUGGGCCGUGUCUCAGUCCCAGUGUGGCUGAUCAUCCUCUCAGACCAGCUACGGAUCGUCGCCUUGGUGAGCCGUUACCUCACCAACCAGCUAAUCCGACAUAGGCUCAUCCGAUAGCGCGAGGCCCGAAGGUCCCCCGCUUUCCCCCGUAGGGCGUAUGCGGUAUUAGCCUGGGUUUCCCCAGGUUAUCCCCACUACCGGGCAGAUUCCUAUGCAUUACUCACCCGUCCGCCGCUCGCCACCAGGGAGCAAGCUCCCCGUGCUGCCGCUCGACUUGCAUGUGUUAGGCCUGCCGCCAGCGUUCAAUCUGAGCCAUGAUCAAACUCUGA
rnacentral:rRNA from 1 species